GAGCACGUAGGUGGGUUUGUAAGUCAGAUGUGAAAGCCUUCUGUUCAACGGAAGAAUUGCAUCUGAAACUGCGAGUCUUGAGUGUAGGAGGGGAGAAUGGAACUUCUGGUGGAGCGGUGAAAUGCGUAGAUAUCAGAAGGAACGCCGGCGGCGAAAGCGAUUCUCUGACCUAUUACUGACACUCAGUGUGCGAAAGCUAGGGGAGCAAACGGGAUUAGAUACCCCGGUAGUCCUAGCCGUAAACGAUGGGCACUAAGUAGAGGGAAUUACCGAUAUUCUCUCUGCCGUAGCUAACGCAUUAAGUGCCCCGCCUGGGGAGUACGGCCGCAAGGCUAAAACUCAAAAGAAUUGACGGGGGCUCGCACAAGCGGUGGAGCAUGUGGCUUAAUUCGAUGCAACGCGAAAAACCUUACCGGGGCUUGACAUGGUAGAAGUAGGAACCCGAAAGGGUAACGAACGGUAUCCAGUCCGUAGCUAUUACAGGUGUUGCAUGGCUGUCGUCAGCUCGUGUCGUGAGACGUUGGGUUAAGUCCCCUAACGAGCGAAACCCUUAUUUUUAGUUGCCAUCGGGUUGUGCCGGGCACUCUAGAAAGACUGCCGUCGUCAAGACGGAGGAAAGGUGGGGGACGACGUCAAGUCAUCAUGGCCCUUAUGCCCCGGGCUGCACACGUGCUACAAUGGUCGGUACAAACGGAAGCGAAGCCGAGAGGUGAAGCGAAUCC
rnacentral:rRNA from 1 species